CAGUAGCCACGGUAAUACGAAGGGGGCUAGCGUUGCUCGGAAUGACUGGGCGUAAAGGGCGCGUAGGCGGUUUGUACAGUUGGAUGUGAAAUUCCUGGGCUUAACCUGGGGGCUGCAUUCAAUACGUGCAGGCUUGAGUGUGGAAGAGGGUUGUGGAAUUCCCAGUGUAGAGGUGAAAUUCGUAGAUAUUGGGAAGAACACCAGUGGCGAAGGCGGCUCACUGGACGCGUAUUGACGCUGAGGUGCGAAAGCGUGGGGAGCAGACAGGAUUAGAUACCCCCGUAGUCCCUGUCUCUUAUAC
rnacentral:rRNA from 1 species